UACGUAGGGUGCGAGCGUUGUCCGGAAUUAUUGGGCGUAAAGGGCUCGUAGGCGGUCUGUUGCGUCAGGAGUGAAAACUCGGGGCUUAACCCCGAGCCUGCUUCUGAUACGGGCAGACUAGAGGUAUGCAGGGGAGAACGGAAUUCCUGGUGUAGCGGUGAAAUGCGCAGAUAUCAGGAGGAACACCGGUGGCGAAGGCGGUUCUCUGGGCAUUACCUGACGCUGAGGCACGAAGGUCAGGGGAGCGAACGGG
rnacentral:rRNA from 1 species